AGCGGGUUAGGCCUACACAUGCAGUCGACGGCAGCACAGUAAGAGCUUGCUCUUACGGGUGGCGAGUGGCGGAUGGGUGAGGAAUACAUCGGAAUCUACUUUUUCGUGGGGGAUAACGUAGGGAAACUUACGCUAAUACCGCAUACGACCUACGGGUGAAAGCAGGGGAUCUUCGGACCUUGCGCGAUUGAAUGAGCCGAUGUCGGAUUAGCUAGUUGGCGGGGUAAAGGCCCACCAAGGCGACGAUCCGUAGCUGGUCUGAGAGGAUGAUCAGCCACACUGGAACUGAGACACGGUCCAGACUCCUACGGGAGGCAGCAGUGGGGAAUAUUGGACAAUGGGCGCAAGCCUGAUCCAGCCAUACCGCGUGGGUGAAGAAGGCCUUCGGGUUGUAAAGCCCUUUUGUUGGGAAAGAAAUCCAGCCGGCUAAUACCUGGUUGGGAUGACGGUACCCAAAGAAUAAGCACCGGCUAACUUCGUGCCAGCAGCCGCGGUAAUACGAAGGGUGCAAGCGUUACUCGGAAUUACUGGGCGUAAAGCGUGCGUAGGUGGUCGUUUAAGUCUGUUGUGAAAGCCCUGGGCUCAACCUGGGAACUGCAGUGGAAACUGGACGACUAGAGUGUGGUAGAGGGUAGCGGAAUUCCUGGUGUAGCAGUGAAAUGCGUAGAGAUCAGGAGGAACAUCCAUGGCGAAGGCAGCUACCUGGACCAACACUGACACUGAGGCACGAAAGCGUGGGGAGCAAACAGGAUUAGAUACCCUUGUAGUCCACGCCCUAACGAUGCGAACUGGAUGUUGGGUGCAUUUUGGCACGCAGUAUCGAAGCUAACGCGUUUAGUUCGCCGCCUGGGGGAGUUACGGUCCGCAGACUGAAACUUCAAGGAAUUGGACGGGGGCCCGCACAACGCGGUGUAGUUAUGG
rnacentral:rRNA from 1 species